GAUGAACGCUGGCGGCGUGCCUAAUACAUGCAAGUCGAGCGAACGGACGAGAAGCUUGCUUCUCUGAUGUUAGCGGCGGACGGGUGAGUAACACGUGGAUAACCUACCUAUAAGACCGGGAUAACUUCGGGAAACCGGAGCUAAUACCGGAUAAUAUUUUGAACCGCAUGGUUCAAAAGUGAAAGACGGUCUUGCUGUCACUUAUAGAUGGAUCCGCGCUGCAUUAGCUAGUUGGUAAGGUAACGGCUUACCAAGGCAACGAUGCAUAGCCGACCUGAGAGGGUGAUCGGCCACACUGGAACUGAGACACGGUCCAGACUCCUACGGGAGGCAGCAGUAGGGAAUCUUCCGCAAUGGGCGAAAGCCUGACGGAGCAACGCCGCGUGAGUGAUGAAGGUCUUCGGAUCGUAAAACUCUGCUAUUAGGGAAGAACAUAUGUGUAAGUAACUGUGCACAUCUUGACGGUACCUAAUCAGAAAGCCACGGCUAACUACGUGCCAGCAGCCGCGGUAAUACGUAGGUGGCAAGCGUUAUCCGGAAUUAUUGGGCGUAAAGCGCGCGUAGGCGGUUUUUUAAGUCUGAUGUGAAAGCCCACGGCUCAACCGUGGAGGGUCAUUGGAAACUGGAAAACUUGAGUGCAGAAGAGGAAAGUGGAAUUCCAUGUGUAGCGGUGAAAUGCGCAGAGAUAUGGAGGAACACCAGUGGCGAAGGCGACUUUCUGGUCUGUAACUGACGCUGAUGUGCGAAAGCGUGGGGAUCAAACAGGAUUAGAUACCCUGGUAGUCCACGCCGUAAACGAUGAGUGCUAAGUGUUAGGGGGUUUCCGCCCCCUAGUGCUGCAGCUAACGCAUUAAGCACUCCGCCUGGGGAGUACGACCGCAAGGUUGAAACUCAAAGGAAUUGACGGGGACCCGCACAAGCGGUGGAGCAUGUGGUUUAAUUCGAAGCAACGCGAAGAACCUUACCAAAUCUUGACAUCCUUUGACAACUCUAGAGAUAGAGCCUUCCCCUUCGGGGGACAAAGUGACAGGUGGUGCAUGGUUGUCGUCAGCUCGUGUCGUGAGAUGUUGGGUUAAGUCCCGCAACGAGCGCAACCCUUAAGCUUAGUUGCCAUCAUUAAGUUGGGCACUCUAAGUUGACUGCCGGUGACAAACCGGAGGAAGGUGGGGAUGACGUCAAAUCAUCAUGCCCCUUAUGAUUUGGGCUACACACGUGCUACAAUGGACAAUACAAAGGGCAGCGAAACCGCGAGGUCAAGCAAAUCCCAUAAAGUUGUUCUCAGUUCGGAUUGUAGUCUGCAACUCGACUACAUGAAGCUGGAGCCGCUAGUAAUCGUAGAUCAGCAUGCUACGGUGAAUACGUUCCCGGGUCU
rnacentral:rRNA from 1 species